GACGAACGCUGGCGGCGUGCCUAAUACAUGCAAGUAGAACGCACAGGAUGCACCGUAGUUUACUACACCGUAUUCUGUGAGUUGCGAACGGGUGAGUAACGCGUAGGUAACCUGCCUGGUAGCGGGGGAUAACUAUUGCAGACAAUAGCUAAUACCGCAUAAGAACAUUUACUGCAUGGUAGAUGUUUAAAAGGUGCAAGAGCAUCACUACCAGAUGGACCUGCGUUGUAUUAGCUAGUUGGUGAGGUAACGGCUCACCAAGGCAACGAUACAUAGCCGACCUGAGAGGGUGAUCGGCCACACUGGGACUGAGACACGGCCCAGACUCCUACGGGAGGCAGCAGUAGGGAAUCUUCGGCAAUGGGGGGAACCCUGACCGAGCAACGCCGCGUGAGUGAAGAAGGUUUUCGGAUCGUAAAGCUCUGUUGUUAAGGAAGAACGUGUGUGAGAGUGGAAAGUUCACACAGUGACGGUACUUAACCAGAAAGGGACGGCUAACUACGUGCCAGCAGCCGCGGUAAUACGUAGGUCCCGAGCGUUGUCCGGAUUUAUUGGGCGUAAAGCGAGCGCAGGCGGUUAGAUAAGUCUGAAGUGAAAGGCAGUGGCUCAACCAUUGUAGGCUUUGGAAACUGUUUAACUUGAGUGCAGAAGGGGAGAGUGGAAUUCCAUGUGUAGCGGUGAAAUGCGUAGAUAUAUGGAGGAACACCGGUGGCGAAAGCGGCUCUCUGGUCUGUAACUGACGCUGAGGCUCGAAAGCGUGGGGAGCGAACAGG
rnacentral:rRNA from 1 species